AGCUCGGCUCUGUGGCAUUUUCUGAUGGCCUCACUGGGGAGCAGAGAUGUGGACAUGGCUCAGUCACCGAAAACAGCAGGGUGUGGCUUUGGCUCCAUCCUUUCACUACCCUGUGGAAUUUCAGAGGACUUUUAGCACGUGCUGAUGUGUGCAGGAGUCCCAGGGACCAAGAGGUCGGGGAGGGGAGCUUGGACACAGCAGUGGCUCUGGCAUUGGGCCAGGUAGUCAGCGCUGGGAUCAUGGCCACCUUGAGGUGCUCGGGCAACUGUCAGACCCCAGGAACACAGGAGAGGCCUCAGGAAAGAGCCCCACCCGGUGCCCUGCCCCAGAGCCUCGAGGGUGGACCAGGACCCCUUAGCCUCUGACUCUGCUUUGUAAGGACAACUUGUCCUUGCUCACCAGAUGGGACUGUACUUGUCGCCCUCAUGAAAUCAGUGAAGGUUUCUCUGCCUUCAAAGCAAUGUUAUGGUCCAUGAUUCCUUUCAUUUCCAAUGGUUUUGCUCUGUCCUUUUCUUCACGUGAUAUAUGUUCUAUGGUUCUUUUUACGUUAUUUGAGAAAACCCCAUCUAUUGUGUCUUUAUGCAGCUUGAAGUGCGGUAAAGAAGGGAUGGGCUCAUACCUUUGUCAUAACCAAAUUUGCAUCACUCUUUCUAUGCUUCCUAUUUAUCGUUUUUUUCUUUUAUGUCCCUUCUGCAGUUUGAGUCUGUUGACUGUGUUAUCACAGUCAAAGGCAUUGACUUUUAUACUUGGAGAUUGGUCUCGUCUCGUGAAAUACAAACUCUGCUUGAUGCUUUCUCCACCACACUAUUUGAAAUUUUUGAAUUUACGAUUGCUUUUGAUGAGACUUGUUUCUUUGGAAUUUCAGUACUAAACUGAUGUAUCACCCAAGAGAUAAUGGAUUCCAGAAAAAUUUUUUUGUUCUGUUUAUAAAUAUUCAAUUGCUUUGCUCUUAAAUGUUUUUGAAAAGUCCACUGUCUUCUUGAUUUUAAUGGGAUGUUGAUAUUGAUUAAAUUUGAUUGCUUUGUUCUCCGUGGCUCUACAUUGAGACGUGGAGAGAAGAUACCACUAUCUUGUAAGGCUUUUUGUGAUUCUGUUGUUCUUUGUAGCUUCUCAAAUGGGGAUGAACUCAGAAUUUAAUCUACUUUGGGUAGCAAGCGUCUGUUGCUGGAGCUCCUGAGCUGUAGGGAGCACUUCCAACAUUUUGCUGGUUGUUGAAGUCUUCAGUUCUAGCUCUGAUUUCCUCAAGUUGGGCUCCUUCAUUUCAUUAACUUUGAAACUGAACUGUUGGGAAACCAGUGGGUCUGCUCCUCCAACGAGAUGUUUCACAUCCUUAGUGCCAUCUGUGACGAUGCCCUCAUGGAUGGAAUGCACAUGCCAGGCUCUCUCUUCAUGUGCUGCUUGCUCUUGCUGUUGUGGUUCAGGAUUAAAUCUUUUUUUCUGCACCAUAUUUGUCACUGUUAUUCUGUCACACAGUUUCAUGUUAAGGGACACUAUCAAUGAUGAUAAAAUGGCAUUUAGGAAUAUAUCUGCCAUAGGCCUACUUUGUUUCAUCUUGGUUUUGGAGUAGCAUCUUAGUUCCCGUCGAUGGCUUGUUAUGUCACAUCCUGCGAUAUUAAGUGUCUUUGGCUUCUUCGCCUUCAAAGUUACAUGUUUGAGACACAUUUUAUGUGUCUUGUCCAUACAUUUUGCUAUGUCUCCCUCUCUUUCAGAUGCAAGUGAAACAAGUUUGGAGAAAGGGAAAGAUUCCAGGAUUGUUCCUGGACAUUCUUGUCCUAAUCCUUUCUUUUUCUCCACUGAUGCAUCUUCCAGUAGAGUUUUAUGAAACCUAUAAGAUAGGACCCCAGAGCAUAUUAAAAAUUCAGUAGUCUGUGAUUUCAGGGUCUCGGGUGGUAGGUGUUUGUGAGGACCACACCGUGUAAUAUUAAUUAUCUUUGAAAUCAGAUGCCUUCUUUGCCUUGGUAAUUGGAGAGCACUUUUGCCUGUGAGGUGCACCAGGUGUAAAGUCCUCCUUGUUUGAGAAUUGUAGGUAGGAAUCCUCUGCACUUUGUAGGCCCUUCUGUAUUUCCAUUUUCUUGUUCAGUGUCAUCUGGGGGAGAUGACACCAGUUUCUGCCUAGAUUCUGAUGUAACUUCUGGAAGGCAUUUCAUGUUUUGGAACGUGCCGACCAAAUGUCAGCUUACUUAGGUCCUUAGGCGACACUUUAUUCUUGCAGUUUGUUGUUUCUAAUAAUGAGCAAAGUGUUUUUAGUUCAUCAGCAUUAGCCAUUAAAGACAGUUCUGGCUGUUGAUCAGAUUCUAGGCCCUUGAUUGCAUUUUUUGUCUCAACAUUAUAUGGGGCUUUGAUGAGUUCUUGGCUCCUAUCCAUAUCCGGGGCCUGCACAGAAUCUUCUGUGCCAAUGGAAAAUGCUUCGUUCAUUAAAUUUUGAGGCUGAGCAAAAUCGCUCGCCUUGGUAUCAGGCUGCCUGUUGACCAGUUCUGGGUUUUGAAUAACUUGUUGGGCUUGAGUGGUAGCUUGUGCUUCACAAAACCCUUCAUUUUGAUCAGUAUUUUGUCCUCGAAAAGAAUCUUGUGCUUGGUCAGCAAUAACCCUUCCAACAGAGUGUUGAUUCUGAACCAAGGACUCUUGAGAUCUUGAGCACAAAUUAGUAGCUUCAUUUUUAAAUGCAGUUUUAGGUUUUAAAGUAAUUUGGUUUCUGAUAUUUUCUUCCAGAAGUCUAACUUGGCCUUUAGUGAGUAAUAGAUGGGCAGGAGGGCAUGGUGUCGCCUCAAGAUCUUCCUUUGCCCCAGUGAAUUCAGAAGUUUUUAAAAUAUUAGGAUAAGAAAAAAAUCUUGAAUUUUCCUUUUUGUUGGUUUUUGUUAAUAAAAAUAAUUCCUCAGAGGAAAAAUGUGUUGUUUGACUUUCAUUUUCUGGUGCUGUCCAGGGCUUAGAAAACAUUUUCCUAAUUUUAAGUCAAAUAAUGACAAAGAUGAGCUGAUGUUACCUGAAGACAACUCACUAAAGUGACUUACUCCAUGUUCACUUUCAAUGCCAUCUGCUCACGUUAUUUCAUCUAAUGAUACAUUUCCAUCUUCAAAGCUAUCUUCACUUUGUUUAGAUGUAAGUGAUGAAGUAAUUCCUUCUGAAAAGAUGUUAAUUCUGAAAUAUAAGAAAAAUAGCAUGCAAAUGAACUGUCAUUUAGGAUAUUAUUUCUUACAAGGACUCUAGUUUUAAGGAGAUCAGGAUUGUAUAUGGAAACAGAUCAAUAUGGAGAUAAAGGGAAAGUGACUGGCCCCCCAAAAACAUGCAUUACCUUGUUGCUUUCUGUUACCAAACCAAUCCACUGAUGAAGUAAAGUAAAUCACUUAUUUUUCAGAGAAUAAGAGAAAUUCUCCCUUGACCUCUCUAAGUUUAUUUUUGAAAGCAGUGAGUCAAAGUGGCAAGAUUAUGUUCUUCAAGAAACAAUAUCAGUGUUUCUGGUCUCUACAUAAAAAUGUUAUUAAAAGAAAACAUUCUUAUGGAAAUUUAGUAGGUACAACACAAGAAGGUCCAAUAUUGUAGACUGUAGCCUCUACAGAUAGUCUGGACAACCUUCACAUCAGCUGUUUGGGGCCCACAAAAGAGGCUGCAUUUUGGAGAAGUCCUUCUGAGUACAAGUUUGGAUUAGAGCAAUGAUCAGGUCAGUGGACUUACCAACAUCCAUCUGCCUCAAAUGAUUGGUCUUAUUCUAACAAGUGCUCCGACAUAGCAUCAACAUCACUUAGGGUGAGGGCUAUUUUGUGCAUCAACUUGCUUGACUGGGUCAUGUUGCCCAGAUUCGUAUUCAGGCACUAUUUUGGGUAUUGUAUUUCUAGGUGAGGGUGUUUUGGAGAUGACAGUAACAUUUAUGUUUUGGGGUAUUUUUUGGCACUAGGGAUCGAACUCGAGUCCUUCCACUUGUGAGGCAGGUGCUGGAACCACUGAGCUACAUCCCUGGCCCCGAGAUUUACAUUUAAACAACCAAACACUGAGUAAAGCGGACUGCUCUCCCUAAUGUAGGCCUCGUCCAAUCAGCAGAAGGCUUAUACAGAACAAAAGAGCGGAGGGAAAUUCCACCAAGGCAGUCUUUGGACCUCGAACUGCACAUUUUGGAUUUGCUAGUCACCAAAACUGCAUGGAUCAAUUUCCUAAAACAGUAUAGUCUCUGGAGAACUCUGUGUAACUUGAUAGAAAUGCAGGUUCCUGGCCCUUGGAAUCAGAAGGCCUAGUGAUGGGGCCCAGAAACUGGAGCCUGAGUAAGUUCUCCAGAUGAGUCGGAUGCAUGAUAAAUUUUGAAAAUCAUUGUCUGAUGGAAGCACAAGCCUAAAAUCAAUAACUUCAACUCAUAAACUAGGUCAGAUAACUCACUAGCUAUUUCUUUGGGGAACAUAGGUGAUCUCAUAGUUUACUGGAAGUUGAGCCUACUUUCAAAUAACCCUAUCAACAAAGUAGUGAACACAGUUCAUGAAAUCAUGAUCUACUUCACCACAAAAAUUACUUGUGCUAAAUGAUUACUUAUACAGCAAAAUGUCAUUAAUUUGGAUUUGGUUUGAAGGGCCCUAGUUAACAAAACAGACUCCAUAUUGCUGCUUGACCCACCUGCCUGCCCUUUAGAGGAACUCAGAAGGAGGAAGCUUAGAAACCUCCUCCGCUUAGAAAGUCUCUUUAGAAACAAGGAUUAAUCAACUAUUGUUUUACAAAUGUUCUAAAGGCAGGAGAUUCCACUUCUGUACCUUUCGCUUGCUUUGCUAGUUCUAUCCCAUAGGGGGGCCUAGAAACUGCUGGCCUCAAAGGUGUAUAAAACAUGUUUGUCAACCCCAGUCGGGGCUCGAGUCCAAUGCUCGGCUCAGGUCCCGGCUGGUAAUAAAUUCCUAUGUGGAUUUAAUAUCGGUCUCUGGUUGGUUCUCUCUCGCUGGGUCUAACAGGUUAAUUAGAGCUUGGGGGUAUUUAGGGUACAGUGAUGAUUAUAUAUGUUCACAGCACUAAAAAACUAAGCAAAGAGUUAAAGAGUCUUCAGGUUUCCUCAGUUGUUAUUUAUUAAUCUCCAAUAUGUAGGCUGUUAUGGGCUGAAUUGUCUUCUCUGCAAAUUCAUGUGUUGAAUUCCUCACCCCUGGGGCCUCGGAACAUGACCAUAUUUGGAACUAGGGUUUUUAAAUAGUGAAAAAGGGGGCUGGGGGUUUAGCUCAGUGGUGUUGUUGAGCCUGCCUUGAAGUCUAAAGGUCCUGAAUUCUAUCCUUGGUUGGAGGCAUGGAUAGUGAAUUAGGGUCAUAUGAGAUCUGUGGCUGGGCUGUAAUCUACAUGACUGUUUUUGGAGAUAAGGCUGCUAAAAGGUAGAGGAAUUAAAGUAAUCUCUUAGGGUGGGGCCCUGAUACCAUGUGUCUGGGGCCCUUACAAUAAAAGAAAAUUCUGAAUGUCCUAAAUUUAAUUACAAAGGUCCAGAGGAUGCAAGGGAGGAGGCGGGAAGUGUGUGUGUGUGUGUGUUGGGGGGUGUUAGUUAAUCUGUUAACAAGCUACAGGCCGAAAAGAAUAACAAGGCUUUUCAUACUCUUAACUGUACAUGAAAACCUUAACCCCCAACCCUAUUGUGACUCCCUAGGUGUCACUGCAUUCUGUUUAUGACCCCACCCAGUCCAGAAGCAACACUCACUCCUUCCUGACUCCCCCACAUCCCAAAGCUUUUCUGUUUUGUCCAGUCCUGAUCCUCUCAUCUGUAACCUGUUUAUAUUCAACCUAAACAACUUGUGCUUUCCAUCUCCUGCUUUUCAUUAUUGAAACGUGCUCCUAGGUCUGGUCCAAAGGACAGUUUUCCAGCUGCUCCCUAGCCUUGUUGCUGGGGCUAUGGGAACAUGUCACAAGACUGGUCUUUACUUCUGGGCUGGCAUCUCCAGUGGUACAAGAAGCCCGUUUUCUUUUGGAGAUCUCUGACUCGAGUUUUGGCUUAACUUUUAUUAAGAAGCUAUCUGGAUAAAGAGACAUUUACAAGCUGAGAAAGGAGUAUGGGAGGACACACCAAGAAAGUGCCCACCUGCAAGCUAAGGAGAGAGGCCUCAGGAGAAACCAGACCUGAUAUUGUCACCCUGGUGUUGGGCUCAUCAGCCUCCAGAACUGUGAGCAAGCCAGAACACUGCCUGGCACAGUGCAGGCUCUAGGUAAAUAGUGCUGAAUGGUCAUCUCCACCACUAGACUUCUGCUUGCUAACCUUCAUCUACAACCAGCUGACAAAGGCAUCAAAACCACCCUUUUAUUCAGUUUCAAGGAGGAGGAAAAAAAAUCCCUCAAACAUAAACCACUCACAAAUGUGGCUAUCUUUAAUAAAGGUUUGAGGGCAGAAACAGAAAGGAAUCGGUUAUAGCAAAGCAACAAGUCCUAAUUAAAUAUUAGAUAUGUCUAUGCAGUCAUGAAAUGUCUUUUGGCUUCUGGCCUUUGAGAUUUGAAAGGGAGCAUCUUAAUGCUCUGAAAGACUGACAGUUGUAUAGCCAUAGAAAGAAGUACCAGGACAUGUAAAGCAAUCACAGUAGUCCAAUAGUCAUAAUAACACACACCAAAUCUCCUUCUAAACUCUUUUAACUAUCAGUGAUAACUGCUUCUGAUGAGUGACAGAUUCAAGCUUUGAAAGUCAGGUCAUUGGUGGCAAAUUGUCCCAAGGACCAGCUUCUAUGAGUGAGGUCGACCCUACAGCCAUUCCCUAAAUGCAAUGUAAAAGCAAAAGUUGGCUUUGCUCCCUAAGGCCAUGCCUGGCCAGCUCGGUGCCCCUGAUUUCCAGAUGCCAAACACUGGUCUCAUCCUUUGUGCCAUUCAGUCCUGAGUCUCACUCUCACUAGCUCACCUGCCCCUCCUUCUUUCUGCUCAGCCCGUCUUUCCUCUCCUUCCACAGCAAGAACGUAUCCACUCACUGGGUCUCUGGUGCUGUGCACUUUGCUCAUUUCAGGGGCUGGCUGUGCUUCUGUUAAUAUUCAAGCCCAGGCUGGGGAUUUAGCUCAGUGGUUCUGGUGCCUGUCUCACAAGCACAUGUUCCCGAGUUC
rnacentral:lncRNA from 1 species